UGGGGAAUAUUGCACAAUGGGCGAAAGCCUGAUGCAGCGACGCCGCGUGAGGGAUGACGGCCUUCGGGUUGUAAACCUCUUUCAGUAGGGACGAAGCGCAAGUGACGGUACCUGCAGAAGAAGCACCGGCUUACUACGUGCCAGCAGCCGCGGUAAUACGUAGGGUGCGAGCGUUGUCCGGAAUUACUGGGCGUAAAGAGCUCGUAGGCGGUUUGUCACGUCGUCUGUGAAAUCCUAGGGCUUAACCCUGGACGUGCAGGCGAUACGGGCUGACUUGAGUACUACAGGGGAGACUGGAAUUUCUGGUGUAGCGGUGGAAUGCACAGAUAUCAGGAAGAACACCGAUGGCGAAGGCAGGUCUCUGGGUAGUAACUGACGCUGAGAAGCGAAAGCAUGGGUAGCGAACAGG
rnacentral:rRNA from 1 species